rnacentral:rRNA from 1 species
UACGUAUGGGGCAAGCGUUAUCCGGAUUUACUGGGUGUAAAGGGAGCGUAGGCGGCCUGGCAAGCCUGAUGUGAAAUACCGGGGCCCAACCCCGGGGCUGCAUUGGGAACUGCCAGGCUGGAGUGCCGGAGAGGCAGGCGGAAUUCCUAGUGUAGCGGUGAAAUGCGUAGAUAUUAGGAGGAACACCAGUGGCGGAGGCGGCCUGCUGGACGGUGACUGACGCUGAGGCUCGAAAGCGUGGGGAGCAAACAGG